UACGUAGGUGACCAGCGUUGUCCGGAUUUACUGGGCGUAAAGAGCGCGCAGGCGGUCGUUCAAGUCGAGUGUGAAAGCCCCCGGCUCAACUGGGGAGGGUCACGCGAUACUGAUCGACUCGAAGGCAGGAGAGGGAAGCGGAAUUCCCGGUGUAGUGGUGAAAUGCGUAGAUAUCGGGAGGAACACCAGUGGCGAAGGCGGCUUCCUGGCCUGCUCUUGACGCUGAGGCGCGAAAGCUAGGGUAGCAAACGGG
rnacentral:rRNA from 1 species